rnacentral:rRNA from 1 species
UACGGAGGAUGCGAGCGUUAUCCGGAUUUAUUGGGUUUAAAGGGUGCGUAGGCGGAUUAUUAAGUCAGUGGUGAAAUACCCGUGCUCAACAUGGGCCGUGCCAUUGAUACUGGUAGUCUAGAGUUCCGUUGCCGUGGGAGGAAUGAGUAGUGUAGCGGUGAAAUGCAUAGAUAUUACUCAGAACACCGAUUGUGAAGACAUCUCACGAAGCGGCGACUGACGCUGAGGCACGAAAGCGUGGGGAU